rnacentral:rRNA from 1 species
UACAGAGGUCUCAACCGUUGUUCGGAUUCAUUGGGCGUAAAGGGUGCGUAGGCGGCCCGACAAGUCCGCUGUGAAAGUCAGGGGGCUCAACCCUUGGAUGCCGGUGGAUACUGUCGGGCUAGAGUCCGGAAGAGGCGAGUGGAAUUCCUGGUGUAGCGGUGAAAUGCGCAGAUAUCAGGAGGAACACCGAUGGCGAAGGCAGCUCGCUGGGACGGUACUGACGCUGAGGCGCGAAAGCGUGGGGAGCAAACAGG